CUCGCGCCCUGGCAGUGUGGAGGAGAAGGGCUGGAGCAGCGCCGCGGCACCGAAACAGGAGAUGGCCUCUGAAAGAGGGGUUAGCUGAAAAAGUUGAAUCCUCUGUUACUGCCAAGGAAUGGUCUUUUGAAAUGGCUAAAUGGGUAAAAACAUUCUGAGAGUGCCUAAGUUCAACCACCAGUACCCAGAAUGAAAAGCAUAAAACUUGUAACUGGAGAAGAGGGUCAUGAAGACAGCAAAUAUUUGGAAAGCAAUGUGGUUUGAGCACUCAGAAGCAAAGUGCCAUACAAGUGAUUGUUUUAAAAGUGCCAUGUGUAGGAAACGCACACCAGCUUUUAAAAAGAAGUGUUUUGGCAUUUCAUCCCAAUUUCCUGAUGAAUGACCACUGCAGUGAUCCUACCUUCAUGAUGCCCCUUUCCAUCACCCGUCACUUGACACACCAUGGUUCAUCUGUCUGAUUUCCAGAUGCCUUUGUCACCUGCCACCAGCUAUGAGCACAGAAGAGCCUGGAAGUGUCACUUCCAGCCCCUGAGGAAUGAGAAGAAAUACAGGUAUUCAGACCUGCUUUGACAGGAAGGUUCUGGAAAGCCAAGAAAGGCCGCAAUGCAUCAGUGCAGGGUGAGGGCUGUGGUGGACUCUGGGCAGCUGGAGCUGCAGCCAGCUAAAGCUCAGCGUGAUUAUCAAGCAUGGAAUAAUGCUGCUCAUCUGCAGACUGCCUAACUUUGGGGGAUGGAGAUGAGAACCUGGGACUGCAGUGGAGGGGAGGAGGCAAUCACACCACGCGUAUCACAUUAGCACAGCAAAAACUAAAAUCUAGCCAGCUGUGGCCUGGCCUCACUUUCUCCUCAUUGUGUCUCUAGCAUGUGCAAAUGGACAUUACCACCUCUUUCUUUUUCUCUGCGUGUGUCCCACCCCUCAGCAUGUAUCAUAGUGCUCUUUAGUGCUGGGUUUCUGGUGAAAACCUGCACAUCUACAUUUAUUGUAUUCUCUGUAGACAUCAAAACUACAGCUUCUUAAAACAGCUCUGAAGAUGGAGAUGAAUAUGCAUAAAGCAAAUCCUGCUUCAAAGUGCCCAGCGUUGUGUCUGCAGUUCCUGGGUCCUGAGGCAGGAAGACAGCAUCACUAGCUGGGGAGCCUUCAUGGGAGGCAGUAGAUCACUUACUGCUGGGAACAGGAAAGGUGGGGGCAGGCUCCUCCAGCAGAAGCCCAGCUGGGAGGCAUCUGCAGUCAAGACUCAUUUCACAACGAGAAAGCUGAAGCUCUGGAGGUCAUCUAGGAGGUGACAGGUGGAGCUGUCUUCAGCAUAAGGUCUGGAAGGCCCUUGAGCCUCGGGCUGCCUUGGACCCUCCUGGGCCCUUGCCUCCCUGGGUGAAGUCUCUGCUAUGACCCCUAGCUGGAGCAAGGGAAAGGUAAUUUUCCCCCGGAGUGCAGAGAACGUGGUUUAUGGCUGCUGCUGAGAGCACUCUCGAAGAGACUCUAAAUUACCGUGCUCGCUGAAACAUGCGUGCAUGAAUAAUAGAUCCAGCCCAGAUGCAGAGCGCCUCUUGCGCAAUUUCUCAAGGCGCCUGGAGACUCUCUCAAGGGUGCUUGCCGAGGUCACAGCCUACUUGAGCUAUUCCGGGCUGGGAGAAGCAGAAAUCUGCAGGUGGGGAAGACACCAUUCCUCAGCAGUGAGCCUUAUGCAGAAGAGGGGAAAGGCAGGCUCUGCAGGAAGAGGAAGAAAGGAAGGCGAGCGGCUGUCAGCUCCUGCUUGGGAAGAGGCCUGCGGCUAGCGCUGUGUGCUCCGCUUCAUUUAAUCCUCCCCAAUUAGCAAGGUGGGCACGUCCCUGUGUCACAGCAUGAGAGUGGGCUAGAAUCACAGAGAGCUUUUCCUGGCCCAUGAGUACAUGUCGCAGCAGGUAAAGCGAGCUUAAAAAUCUGAGAGCAAAAUAUAUGCCUUUCAUGAUCACUGCUCCCCAGAAAGCUGGGAGCCCUCUUCUAUCCUCACACUGGGCUCAGUGACCUUGAGCAUGUCCCCGUUACUGUGAUGUUCCAUGAUCUCAAUGACCUUGAUGUCACAAUGUGCAGGAGGUACCCGCAGUGCUUCCCAGCGACACACUGAUUAUGAAGAGAAGUGGCCGCCCAGUCUGAGUGUGCUCUGUCACCAGCAUGUGACUGCUAUUGUUCUUUCUGUAAGCAGGAAAUCAGAGACAUCUUAGGAAUGAGAGGCUGCAGCUUCCAUGUUAGUGUCUGGUUUCCUGCAUUUGGAGAGACACUAGAGUCUGCCUACCUUCAGCUCUGGAGGUAGAAUAAUGGCUGCUAACAAUCUUCAUCUCUGUAACCUGUGAAUGCGUCCCUCACAAGGCAAAGCAGACUUUGUAGGUGUGAUUACACUACAGAUCCUGAGGUAGGGAGAGCAGAGUAAGGAAGUAGCUCACCAGCACCAGCAGGAAACCAAUGUCUUGCAGCAGCACCUCCUUGGCACCCUCCUGGGAGCCCUAGCUGCCCAUAGGCAAACACUGUCCCUGUGCUCCGUGCAUCAUUCCCAGUGCUGACUGUACUGAUCCCCUUCUCUGCAAAUCCAUG